CAAUCACAAGAAUUCUCAAAUCCCUAAUUUAGCGAUCGUAAAAUCUCAAUUCACCGGCGUUACGAUGUCAUCGAUGCCUUCAACGUCGGCGGCAGCUACUUCAUCGUCGUCGCAAUUCACCUACUCGAAUGGCACCUACUUUCCGACGCCUUUUCAUCUCCAACAACAACCUCCUCAGCCCUACAUAGGUGCUGCUCCUCCGCCCGUUCAACUUCCUGUUCCUUCCGUCUAUCCUGCUCCUGCUGCUAUUCCUGGCGUUUACACUUUGCCUCAGUUUCAACAAGCUCAACAGUUGUUCCAAAGAGACGCACAAACAAUCACACCUGAAGCACUUGAAAAUGUGAAAGCUGCACUUGCGAGCUGUGAAAUUGAGCACAAAGCUGAGGCCAAGAAGAAAGCUGUACCGCGUAAGGCAGCAGGACAUAGUUGGGAAGAUCCUACUCUGGCAGAGUGGCCCGAAAAUGAUUAUCGUCUAUUCUGUGGUGAUCUCGGGAAUGAGGUGAAUGAUGAUGUCCUAUCAAAAGCUUUUUCAAGGUUUCCAACUUUUAAUAUGGCCAAGGUUGUAAGAGACAAGCGGACUGGUAAGACCAGGGGAUAUGGAUUUGUGAGUUUUUCCAAUCCAUUGGAUCUUGCUGCGGCACUUAAAGAAAUGAAUGGAAAGUAUGUUGGUAACCGGCCUAUUAAACUUUGCAAGAGCAAGUGGCAAGAGAGAAUUGACCAUGAGGCUGUGGAAAGUCACAAGAACCGAUCACAUAAGAAACCAAAGCAAGCAAAGAAGGGUAUAUUUCACAAGUGAGCAUACACCAGCCAUGAUAAGGACUCAAGCAGCAAGAUACUUGAAAUGUGUAUUAAUCAAUUUCUUUACCAGUCCCUGCCUGGGAAAGAAGGAUCAAAGUAUAGUCCCAGGAUGCUGAGAGGCGAUUUCGAUGUCUGCAAUUUGUUAUUUUCACAAUGGUAUAAUAUCCAUAACUAAUUUGGUUUCAUA
rnacentral:misc_RNA from 1 species